rnacentral:rRNA from 1 species
UACGUAGGGGGCAAGCGUUGUCCGGAUUUACUGGGGGUAAAGGGUGCUCAGGUGGCUUUGUAAGUCAGCGGUGAAAUCUUAGAGCUCAACUCUGAAACUGCCGUUGAUACUACUUGGCUUGAGUAUGGAAGAGGUUGAUGGAAUUUCAGGUGUAGCAGUGAAAUGCGUAGAUAUCUGAAAGAACACCAGUGGCGAAGGCGGUCAACUGGUCCAUUACUGACACUAAAGCACGAAAGCGUGGGUAGCGAACAGG